rnacentral:rRNA from 1 species
GGAUGAACGCUGGCGGCGUGCCUAAUACAUGCAAGUCGAGCGAACAGAUAAGGAGCUUGCUCCUUUGACGUUAGCGGCGGACGGGUGAGUAACACGUGGGUAACCUACCUAUAAGACUGGGAUAACUUCGGGAAACCGGAGCUAAUACCGGAUAAUAUUUCGAACCGCAUGGUUCGAUAGUGAAAGAUGGUUUUGCUAUCACUUAUAGAUGGACCCGCGCCGUAUUAGCUAGUUGGUAAGGUAACGGCUUACCAAGGCGACGAUACGUAGCCGACCUGAGAGGGUGAUCGGCCACACUGGAACUGAGACACGGUCCAGACUCCUACGGGAGGCAGCAGUAGGGAAUCUUCCGCAAUGGGCGAAAGCCUGACGGAGCAACGCCGCGUGAGUGAUGAAGGUCUUCGGAUCGUAAAACUCUGUUAUUAGGGAAGAACAUACGUGUAAGUAACUGUGCACGUCUUGACGGUACCUAAUCAGAAAGCCACGGCUAACUACGUG